rnacentral:rRNA from 1 species
GAUGAACGCUGGCGGCGUGCCUAACACAUGCAAGUCGAACGGAGUCGUUUUGGAAAUCUCUUCGGAGAUGGAAUUCUCGACUUAGUGGCGGACGGGUGAGUAACACGUGAGCAAUCUGCCUUUAAGAGGGGGAUAACAGUCGGAAACGGCUGCUAAUACCGCAUAAAGCAUUAAAUUCGCAUGUUUUUGAUGCCAAAGGAGCAAUCCGCUUUUAGAUGAGCUCGCGUCUGAUUAGCUAGUUGGCGGGGUAACGGCCCACCAAGGCGACGAUCAGUAGCCGGACGGAGAGGUUGAACGGCCACAUUGGGACUGAGACACGGCCCAGACUCCUACGGGAGGCAGCAGUGGGGAAUAUUGCGCAAUGGGGGAAACCCUGACGCAGCAACGCCGCGUGAUUGAAGAAGGCCUUCGGGUUGUAAAGAUCUUUAAUCAGGGACGAAACAAAUGACGGUACCUGAAGAAUAAGCUCCGGCUAACUACGUG